rnacentral:rRNA from 1 species
UACGUAGGUGGCAAGCGUUGUCCGGAUUUACUGGGCGUAAAGAGCGCGCAGGCGGUCGUUCAAGUCGCGUGUGAAAGCCCCCGGCUCAACUGGGGAGGGUCACGCGAUACUGAUCGACUCGAAGGCAGGAGAGGGUAGUGGAAUUCCCGGUGUAGUGGUGAAAUGCGUAGAUAUCGGGAGGAACACCAGUGGCGAAGGCGGCCUGCUGGGCUGACCCUGACACUGAGGCGCGAAGGCGUGGGGAGCGAACGGGAUUAGAAACCCGUU